UACUGUUCACCAACUUUUCUCUCUAACUUAAGCAUCGGAGGGUCUCCGUCGGACACAAAUCCGGUCAAUGCGGAUAUUAUCUUGCAGGUGUUCGUUCCCGACAACAGACGACGGGGAGUUAGUCGUAACAGAUUGGCACACCAGGAAGGAGAGAAGAGAGACAAUAUUCACUAUGACGAAAAUUAGAGCUUUACAUUCGACUGCAACC
rnacentral:lncRNA from 1 species